rnacentral:rRNA from 1 species
AUGGCCAAGAUCCGAGAGAGGAAGACGAGGGAUAUUGGCCAAGUCAAAUGCAUCAAGGACGGAGCAGGCCAACUCUUGGUGAAGGACGAGGAGAUUAAGCAUAGAUGGCGGGAGUACUUCGACAAGCUGUUCAAUGGGGAGAAUGAGAGUUCUACCAUUGAACUGGACGAGUCCUUUGAUGAGACCAGCAUGCGUUUUGUGCAGCGAAUCCAGGAGUCUGAGGUCAAGGAGGCUUUAACAAGGAUGAAAGGAGGCAAGGCGAUGGGCCCUGAUUGUAUCCCCAUUGAGGUGUGGAAAGGUCUCGGGGACAUAGCGAUAGUAUGGCUAACCAAGCUUUUCAACCUCAUUUUUCGGGCAAACAAGAUGCCAGAAGAAUGGAGGAGUAUAUUAGUACCAAUCUUCAAGAACAAGGGAGAUGUUCAGAGUUGUACUAAUUACUGUGGAAUUAAGCUGAUGAGCCAUACAAUGAAGCUAUGGGAGAGAGUCAUUGAGCACCGCUUAAGAAGAAUGACAAGCGUGACCAAAAAUCAGUUUGGUUUCAUGCCUAGGAGGUCGACCAUGGAAGCCAUUUUCUUGGUAGGACAACUUAUGGAGAGAUAUAGGGAGCAAAAGAAGGACUUGCAUAUGGUGUUCAUUGACUUGGAGAAGGCCUAUGAUAAGAUACCGCGGAAUGUCAUGUGGUGGGCCUUGGAGAAACACAAAGUCCCAGCAAAGUACAUUACCCUCAUCAAGGACAUGUACGAUAAUGUUGUGACAAGUGUUCGAACAAGUGAUGUCGACACUGAUGACUUCCCGAUUAAGAUAGGACUGCAUCAGGGGUCAGCUUUGAGCCCUUAUCUUUUUGCAUUGAUGAUGGAUGAGGUCACAAGGGAUAUACAAGGAGAUAUCCCAUGGUGUAUGCUCUUUGCAGAUGAUUGA